GUAUUGUAAUGGUGAAUCGGGAUUUUUAAUCAAGUGGAUUUGAAUACUCUUGACUGUUUUAUGAAAUCGAGUUACGUCUGUGAUUGAAGGAUUAAAAGGGUGUCUAUAGGAUUGAGUAUGCGGAGUGAAUGAAAUUUAUUGGGUUAAUCUAACAAGACAGUCAGUGGAUACAAGAUCGUAAGUACAAAGCGAUAUUGAAGAUUAACAGUU
rnacentral:lncRNA from 1 species